CGGCGGUCGGGGUAGCGGUUAAGCCCCCUGAUGAGAGCUUUCGCAGGCUCGAAACCGCAC
rnacentral:hammerhead_ribozyme from 17 species